ACUGGGUUUAAAUCCAUGACUGUGAACCUCAUCAAACUUCCAAUAGGAAAUUCAGUAUGGAAAGAAUUGGAGGAUAAGGAAACUGGAUGAGAAACGUAUUUAGGCGCCACUUUUAAUGAAGCUAAAGAUGCUGAAUCCUCCUCAUCAUUUUUAGUUAAAUACGAGUCAGGAACAUUUGCAACGACGGUAGAUUCAUUGGCUGAAAAAGUAUCAUUAGAUUCUUGCAUCAAACGUUUCAAUAUUCUUGCUUUCUUACGACGAAGAUUCCGAGCUUUUGUAGCUGAUGAACCAGAUCCGGGAGGCCGAACUGAAAUAUUAUUAACAUGGCCAUCGAAUUCAGCAUUUAAUUUGCUUUUUUUAUUAUCAUCGGAA